AACCCAUGGUGAGGGCACCAUCUCAAUAGGUCCUUGUAUCUCUCCCAUGCACCAUAAAGAGUUUUUAGAUCCAUUUGCACAAAAGAAGAGAUAUCAUUCCUCAAUUU
rnacentral:snoRNA from 1 species